CUGCAACCCGCCUGCGUGAAGUUGGAAUCGCUAGUAAUCGCGGAUCAGAAUGCCGCGGUGAAUACGUUCCCGGGUCUUGUACACACCGCCCGUCACACCAUGGGAGUUGGUAACGCCCGAAGUCAGUGACCCAACCGCAAGGAGGGAGCUGCCGAAGGCGGGACCGGUAACUGGGGUGAAGUCGUAACAAGGUAAC
rnacentral:rRNA from 1 species